AAGAUUUGGUCAAAGUCAAACUUUGUAAAAUUUGACUAACUUUAGAAAAAAGUAUCAACAUCUACAAUACAAAAGUUAUAUGUUAGGAAAAUUAAUUUCAUCAUGUAUCUAAUAAGAUUGAUUUCAUAGUGUGAACGUUGAUAUCUUUUUCUACAAAGCUAGUCAAACUUUACAAAGUUUGACUUUGACCAAAUCUUA
rnacentral:pre_miRNA from 1 species